CCUACGGGAGGCAGCAGUAGGGAAUGUUCGUCAAUGGGCGCAAGCCUGAACGAGCGAUGCCGCGUGAGUGAAGAAGGCCUUCGGGUCGUAAAGCUCUGUUGCGGGGGAAAAAAGGCAGCAUCAGGAAAUGGGUGCUGACUGAUGGUGCCCCGCCAGAAAGGCACGGCUAACUACGUGCCAGCAGCCGCGGGAAUACGUAGGUAGCGAGCGUUAUCCGGAAUGAUUGGGCGUAAAGGGUGCGCAGGCGGUCCUGCAAGUCUGGAGUGAAACGCAUGGGCUCAACUCAUGCAUGGCUUUGGAAACUGGAGGACUGGAGAGCAGGAGAGGGCGGUGGAACUCCAUGUGUAGCGGUGAAAUGCGUAGAUAUAUGGAAGAACACCAGUGGCGAAGGCGGCCGCCUGGCCUGUUGCUGACGCUGAGGCACGAAAGCGUGGGGAGCAAAUAGGAUUAGAUACCCGAGUAGUC
rnacentral:rRNA from 1 species